GGCAGUGUGGUGUAGUGGUUUGAGCACUGGACUACGACUCUAGAGAUCAGGGUUCAAUUUCCUGCUCGAACA